rnacentral:rRNA from 1 species
GAGGUCUCAAGCGUUGUUCGGAAUCACUGGGCGUAAAGGGUGUGUAGGCGGCGUGGAAAGUCAGAUGUGAAAUCCGGGGGCUCAACCCCCGAAUUGCAUCCGAUACUGCCACGCUGGAGGUCUGUAGAGGAGUCUGGAAUUCUCGGUGUAGCAGUGAAAUGCGUAGAUAUCGAGAGGAACACUUAUAGCGAAAGCAAGACUCUGGGCAGAAUCUGACGCUGAAACACGAAGGCCAGGGUAGCGAACGGGAUUAGAUACCCCGGUAGUCCUGGCAGUAAACGGUGCACGUUUGGUGUGGGAGAAUUCGACCUCUUCCGUGCCGGAGCAAACGCGUUAAACGUGCCGCCUGGGAAGUACGGUCGCAAGAUUAAAACUCAAAGAAAUUGACGGGGACCCGCACAAGCGGUGGAGUAUGUGGCUUAAUUCGAUGCAACGCGAAGAACCUUACCUGGGCUUGACAUGCACUGUGUCAUUGGUGAAAGCCAGUUAGCGUAGCAAUACGCGCUUUGCACAGGUGCUGCAUGGCUGUCGUCAGCUCGUGUCGUGAGAUGUUGGGUUAAGUCCCGCAACGAGCGCAACCCUUGUAGAUUGUUGCCACCGGAGAAAUCCGCGCACUCAAGCUAGACUGCCCAGUUUAACUGGGAGGAAGGUGGGGACGACGUCAAGUCCGUAUGGCCCUUACGCCCAGGGCUGCACACGUACUACAAUGCUCAGUACAAUAGGAGCUGAAGCCGCGAGGCGGAAGAAAUCCGUGAAAACUGG